rnacentral:rRNA from 1 species
UGAGGAAUAUUGGGCAAUGCCCGAAAGGGUGACCCAGCAACGCCGCGUGGAGGAUGAAUGCCGUAAGGUUGUAAACUCCUGUUAGAGGGGAAGAAAAAUCUCGAUCAAAUCGGGAACUGACUGUACCCUCAGAGAAAGCCCCGGCUAACUACGUGCCAGCAGCCGCGGUAAUACGUAGGGGGCAAGCGUUGUCCGGAUUCACUGGGUGUAAAGGGCGCGCAGGCGGGUUAGCAAGUCAGAGGUGAAAUCCUACAGCUUAACUGUAGAACUGCCCUUGAGACUGCUAAUCUUGAGUACGGAAGAGAGAGAUGGAAUUCCAGGUGUAGUGGUGAAAUACGUAGAUAUCUGGAAGAACACCAGUGGCGAAGGCGGUCUCUUGGUCCUAUACUGACGCUAAGGCGCGAAAGCGUGGGGAGCAAACAGGAUUAGAUACCCCCGUAGUCCCUGAGCGGGCUGGCAAGGCGCAU